UUAGCCUUGAGUUGCUCAAAAGCAGUCUGA
rnacentral:piRNA from 1 species